AUGGUCAAGCACAAUCCAAAGCAUGCAAAGGUGAACAUGAUGAAUGCAGCUCAGGCAGAGGAUUCUUCAGAUGUGAUCAUGGGUAACCUUCCAGUUAACUCUAUUCCUGCUAGAGUUUUAUUUGAUUCUGGUGCAUCGCAUUGUUUCAUGUCAGCACCGUUCUUUACCAAGCAUGAUUUCACUUUGGAAUAUUUGGAUAGACCUCUAGCAAUUGUUUCCCCGUGUAAGCACAUGAGUUCUCGUUUGAUGGUUCCGAAUGUCGGUAUCAAGAUGGGCAAUUAUAAAUUUAUGUCUUCUCCAAUUGUUCUUGGCGACUCUGAUAUUGAUCUAAUUCUUGGGAUGGAUUGG
rnacentral:rRNA from 1 species